rnacentral:lncRNA from 1 species
AUUAACCAAAUAUCUGGGCACCCAUGGCUCAGUCAAGUUGACAUGUGAAAUUAACCAUCACAAUGAGCAAGUGCAGCUAAUUGGCUGAGUGGUCAUGAGCCUAUUCCUUCAGAAUGUGAAAGCCUGGGAAAAGACUAACCUAUGAAAAAGCAAGGGCUAUGGAUCAAGUAUUCUUUGAAGUGCCCUGUUCACUUCAUGGUUCUGUAGAGAAUUAGAAAACUUCCAGGAGUUUCCAAGAAUGCUGAUAUCCAGUUCACCACUUUACCCACUGGUGAGGAGAAGAAAGUCAAAGGAAACCAUAUGUCUUAGACCUUAGUCUCCACUGGUGACCUCUGUCUACCUUGACCCUUUCUCUAUCAGAAGGCCUGCGGCUAGUGACUGAGGCGGGGGUGCACCACGUCUUCAACCAAGGGCAGCACAGAAGAAGUAGAGUCCCUCUCAGCUGGAGGGUCUGAUGAUGCUUCUCUCCUCAUCAAAGCUGGAGGCAGGAGGCAGCUUCCUGUCCAUGACUCUCACCGCCUUGUCUUGGUCAUGGCAAGUUUUUAUUUGCUCCCCAAAUAGACCAGGGUUCUAUGAAUAGGCACACCCAGUUAUGAAUGGAGAGAAGCUUUAAAUCAGGAUAUUCUAACACCUUUAUUACUCACGGUCGGUAGGGACCAGAAAUAUGGAGAUUAAAGUGUCCAUCAUGUCACUAGAAUCCCUUGGGUAUAGGAUCUUACUGCGUGGCCUUAUCUUUCUUUUAUCAAAACAUACACACACAAAAGACAUUUACCUGCCACAUGCACCCCCAGGAUUUGAAAAUGGAGCACAAUAAAAAUAAGCUGACAGUGGGAGAAAGUGGCAUAUUCAUUUUCUCUGUCAUUACCUUUGAUUAUGAAAAAGCCCUGAGCAGGUGUCAGGUUUUUCCGCAGCUCUCUCAGGAAGAUCUGGGCUCCAGGUAUUUCCCACGUGAGUUCAUGGGAUGCGGGAAGAUGUAGGCACUGAAGGCCGC